rnacentral:SRP_RNA from 1 species
GCCGAGCUCAGUAGCGCGAGCUUGUAACCCAUGUGGGGGCUACAAAGUGGUUGAACAUUGAAUCGGUAUCACUCGGUUGGGUCUGAUCGGUGUCCAUGGUCGAUUUGCCCGUUCCAAGUUGGGAGUUGGGCCGUGUGAUUCAGGCGGACGCUUGAACCAUAUGGUUCCUAGAGUGGAGGGUAAAGCGUCAGGCUGGUUUCACAGAGCAGCGAGCACCUCCCGCUCUUGUCAGUGGAAGGAUAACUAGUUGACGCACCUCAGACCCAUUACGCCUGGUGAGCUGACUCAGUUGAACAACCAUUUUU